GGAGACUUGUCCGCGUGAUCUCCGGGGCCGAGAAAAUCGCAGCGGACUGCGCUCGGAGAAGCCCUGUUUCCACUUCGUUGGACGCGGGUUCGAUUCCCGCCAUCUCCA
rnacentral:tRNA from 1 species